rnacentral:lncRNA from 1 species
CACAACUUUAGACCUAAACGAUCGUAAACUUCCAUGACUGUGAUUGUGAUCAAAUGAUUUAUAUGUACGCUUUAAAAAUGAAUUGGAUUUUGAAAACGAUUUUAACAGUGUGGAUUUAUCAACGGAUAUUUCUGGAAGAAUUCAUGGUAUAUGGAGAUGGUAUUGAAAUUGCGGAAUGUAAAAUCAACUGCGCAUGUUGUAAAGAUCAAGACUGUGGGCCAGGU